UACGAAGGGAGCUAGCGUUGUUCGGAAUCACUGGGCGUAAAGCGCGCGCAGGCGGUUGCGAGAGCCCGGCGUGAAAGCCCCCAGCUCAACUGGGGGAGGCCGUCGGAGACCUCGUGACUUGAGGCGAUGAGAGGGGUGCAGAAUUCCCGGUGUAGUGGUGGAAUGCGUAGAUAUCGGGGGGAAUACCAGUGGCGAAAGCGGCACCCUGGCGUCGUACUGACGCUCAUGUGCGAAAGCGUGGGGAGCGAACGGG
rnacentral:rRNA from 1 species